rnacentral:rRNA from 1 species
CCUACGGGAGGCAGCAGUGAGGAAUAUUGGUCAAUGGACGCAAGUCUGAACCAGCCAUGCCGCGUGCAGGAAGACGGCUCUAUGAGUUGUAAACUGCUUUUGUACGAGGGUAAACGCAGAUACGCGUAUCUGUCUGAAAGUAUCGUACGAAUAAGGAUCGACUAACUCCGUGCCAGCAGCCGCGGUAAUACGGAGGAUUCAAGCGUUAUCCGGAUUUAUUGGGUUUAAAGGGUGCGUAGGCGGUCGGAUAAGUUAGAGGUGAAAUCCCGAGGCUCAACUUCGGAAUUGCCUCUGAUACUGUACGGCUAGAGAGUAGUUGCGGUAGGCGGAAUGUAUGGUGUAGCGGUGAAAUGCUUAGAGAUCAUACAGAACACCGAUUGCGAAGGCAGCUUACCAAGCUACGUCUGACGUUGAGGCACGAAAGCGUGGGGAGCAAACAGGAUUAGAUACCCUGGUAGUC